UACGUAGGGGGCUAGCGUUGCUCGGAAUUACUGGGCGUAAAGCGCACGUAGGCGGGUCUUUAAGUCAGGGGUGAAAUCCUGGAGCUCAACUCCAGAACUGCCUUUGAUACUGAAGAUCUUGAGUUCGGGAGAGGUGAGUGGAACUGCGAGUGUAGAGGUGAAAUUCGUAGAUAUUGGGAAGAACACCGGUGGCGAAGGCGGCGCUCUGGACCGAGACUGACGCUGAGGCGCGAAAGCGUGGGGAGCAAACAGG
rnacentral:rRNA from 1 species